rnacentral:rRNA from 1 species
GACGAACGCUGGCGGCGUGCUUAACACAUGCAAGUCGAACGGAAAGGCCCUGCUGUUGUGGUGUGCUCGAGUGGCGAACGGGUGAGUAACACGUGAGUAACCUGCCCUUGACUUUGGGAUAACUUCAGGAAACUGGGGCUAAUACCGGAUUGUAGCUCCUGCUGCAUGGUGGUGGUUGGAUAGUUUCGGCGGUUGGGGAUGGACUCGCGGCUUAUCAGCUUGUUGGUGGGGGAGUGGCUUACCAAGGCUUUGACGGGUAGCCGGCCUGAGAGGGUGACCGGCAACAUUGGGACUGAGAUACGGCACAGACUACUACGGGAGGCAGCAGUGGGGAAUAUUGCACAAUGGGCGGAAGCCUGAUGCAGCAACGCCGCGUGCGGGAUGACGGCCUUCGGGUUGUAAACCGCUUUCGCAUGUGACGAAGCGUGAGUGACGGUAAUGGGUAAAGAAGCACCGGCUAACUACGUG